GAUGAACGCUGGCGGCGUGCCUAAUACAUGCAAGUCGAGCGAACAGACGAGGAGCUUGCUCCUCUGACGUUAGCGGCGGACGGGUGAGUAACACGUGUAUAACCUACCUAUAAGACUGGGAUAACUUCGGGAAACCGGAGCUAAUACCGUAUAACAUGUUGAACCGCAUGGGUCAACAGUGAAAGACGGUCUUGCAGUCACGUAUAGAUGGAUCCGCGCCGCAUUAGCUAGUUGGUGAGGUAACGGCUUCCCAAGGGAAGGAUGGGUAGCCGCCCGGAGAGUGUGAACGCGCACAUGGCGACUGCGGGAGGGCCCAGACGCCUACGGGAGGCAGCGGUGGAAAACCGGGCGCAACGGGCGGAAGCGGGAUGCAGCAACCUCGCGUUCGUAAUGCCUGUUUUCGGGUGAAAAACAGUUUUGGACUUUGACGAAGCGGUCGUGACGGUAAUUAAUAAAAAAGCACCGGCUAACUACGUG
rnacentral:rRNA from 1 species